rfam:Patagioenas fasciata monilis isolate BTP2013 Sc31e1R_77, whole genome shotgun sequence.
AAACAGGCUUUAUUAAAAGCUACUUUACAAUGUGUAUUACAUGCAU